ensembl:lncRNA
CAAGAAGGAAAUCACUAGAUGCAGCCCUUGACUUAGACCAGAACCGUGAGCAAAAAUAAACCCCUUUGCUUAAUAACUUAUCCAGGCCAUGGUAUUGGGUUAUUAUUAGCAAAAAAUGGACAAAGACAUGCUCUAUUGGUGCUAUCCACACUUCAUCUGUAAAUGACUGAACCAACACAAAUGAGCAAAAUUGGGAACUGUUUUCCUUUAGAAGAAUAGUCAAAGAGCAGGAAGACAUUUGCAUAAAGCCAUUAAGCAAGUGAAAGAAUGACACUGGCUCCCCUCCAUACGAGUGGGGAGCCUGGCUGACUGAGGAGCUUGGUGUGCUGACACAGAACUGGAGGCAUGGGUGAUUUUCAACGGGCUUCUGAGAGAUCUUCAAAUAUUCUGGAAACAGUCUUUAUUAGAUAUGUGACCUGUGCAGUCAAAUGAAAAAUGGAACAUGUGCAUGACUAUGGAGGUGUUAAGAAAACUACAGCACAUCACAAUCACAUCCUGGAGGAAACUACUGGGGAAAUGGAAGCUGUUGAGUCUGCAUGAGGAAGUUCCCACAAAGUCACCAGUUGAUGGCCAAUUGGAUUGUUUCCAAGUUUCAGCUGUCACGAAAUGUGCUACUAUGAACAUGGGUGGACAUAUAUCACUGUGAUCCUCUUCUGUUGCCAGUUCUGGGGGUCCAGGUGGUUGAGAAUCAGAGCAUUCCAUCUCAUUUCCCUUUGGAGUUGCUGUUGGCCCAGAACCCUUCUACUCUGCACUGGGAGCUGUGGUACAUUGCCCUGGAAGACUCCCCUGCACUGGCAACUGUUGCACAUCAACCCGGAAGCCUGCUCUGUGGUGGGAGCUGUCUCAUGUAGACCUAGAAGCCUCCUCUAUGCCGGGAGUGGUGGUAAGUUGGCCCAGAAGCCUCCUACUCUACACUGGGAGCUGUGGCACAUCAACCUGGAAGUCUUCUCUGCACUGAGAGCUGUAGCAUGUCGACCUGGAACCCUUCUCUGUGCUGGGAGCUGUAGCACAUCGACCCGGAAGCCUCCUCCAUGCUGGGAACACUGGUAUGUUGGCCCAGAAGCCUCCUACUCUGCACUGGGAGCUGUGGCAUGUUGCUCCAGAAGAUUUCUCUGUGCUGGGAGCUGUAGUAUGUUGACCCAGAACCCUCCUCUGCGCUGGGAGCAGUGGUAGGUUGACCCAGAAGCCUCCUACUCUGCACUGGAAGCUGUAGUACAUUGACCUGGAAGCCUCUUCUGCACUGGGAGCUGUAGCAGAGUUUGAUUGAGUUCUAGUAUUUUGUUGUUUAUUUUUUGUCUAGUUGAUCUAUUUGUGAGAAUGGGGUAUUAAGGUUUCCCCACUACUAUUGUAUUAGUGCUUAUAUGAUUUUUCAUAUCCAUUAGUAUUUGUUUUCUAUAGCUGGGCACACUAGUGUUUGGUGCAUAUAUAUUAAUGAUUGUCAUCUCUUCCUCUUGGAUUGUUCCCUUUACAAGGGUGUAGUGUACUUCUUUGUCUCUCUUAAUCAGUUAUGGUUUGAAAUCCACUUGAUCUGCCAAGAGGAUAGCUAGUCCUGCUUUUUUUUUGGUUCCUGUCACAUGGAGUAUUGUUUUCCACCCUUUAACUUUUAGUGUAUAAGUUUCUUUUUGAAUUAAGUGUGUUUCUUGUAUGCAGCAUAUCAUUGGAUCUUGCUUCUUGACCCAUUCUGUCAGUCUAUUUCUUUUGAUUGGUCAAUUGAGACCAUUAACAUUGAUGGUUAUAAUUGCUUUGUAUUGACUUAUCCUUGUCAUGACUUUUUCUUUUUGUUGGAUUCUCCCCCUUUGUGUUUAAUUUCUUGUUGUGCCUGAUGUAUUCAUUCAAUCAUGUCUUGUACUUGUACUAUGGGCACAAUUUCUGCUGUUAUCUGAGAAAUUAUUUCUGAUUUCAUUUUUUCCAGAUCCCCUUUCAUUGCUAGUUCAGGGAAUUCAGGUGGUUGAGUAUCAGAUUGUUCCAUUUUGCUCCCCUUUGACUUCACUUACAUGAUCUGAAAGUCUGGUUUUGGGACUUAUUUACAUGUCUUCUCAUUUCAACAGAUACAACCUGCUGUGUCUUUGUUGAUGUGACUUUUUGAUCGCUCAGUGGUCUUGAAUUCUCAGCAAGCCACCAAGCAGCCUUUACUCUGCUGUUCACCAGUAUACCAAUUCCUGGGUUCAGAGUGGUGGCCUUCUGGAUACCUGAGCUAACCUGUUGUCUGGGCAGGCUUCUGGCUGGGGCCUGAGCACACUUGGGAUGGUAUCUAGGCAUGCCUCUUGCUGGGGCUUCUAUGUAGCUAUUGUCUGGGAGGGCCUUUGUUUAGGGGCUCUGCACCCCACUUUCUGUUGUCCGCACAGGCUUUAGCUAGGGUCUCCUUGCACUUGUCAAUGGUAUGGGGCAAGCCUCUGGAUAUUGCUUGUGUGCUUGUACAGCUCUUCUCCAGGUGGGUUCCUGGCUAUGGCCGAUGGUAUGGCAAGCCUCUGGCUGAAGCCCAUGUACCUAUGCAGCUCCUUUCUGGGUGUGCCUUUGGCUUGGGUAGGUGUGCCCAAGCCUCUGGGGUUGGGGCCAAGCCCUGGCCGGGAUCUGCCUAGAGCCCCACUGGUCAGGGUCACACAGCUACUCUCCGGGAUCUGCCUGCACUUAGGGGUGGAAUGACUGGCCUCCCGCAGGAGCCCACAUGCCCAUGCAGCUCCUCUCUCCCAAUCUCAUUUAUUAUACCCACUCAUCCCAUCUUUUGCUCUAGCCACAACUUUAAGCUGAAUGAUGUGCAAUUUUCUGUACCUGAAUGAAUAUGCACCUUUGGAUCCUCACAGCCAUGUUUUCCCCACAUGCUGUGCUUCCUUUCUGCAAAGCAUUCUCCUUUGGCAAACAGGCUUUGAGUCCAGCUACUUCCUUAAGGCUGCAGUGUCAGACCUGAAGAGGCCUGGGCUCCUCCUUGGGCUGAUGAAAUCAGACUGCUUCAGAGCUGAGAACUGAGUCCCAGUUAUUGAAAAGGCUCAUUGGUGAUAGUCUUGCACCAGUGUGCUUAAAAACACUACACAACAUGUAGUCUGUGGACCAGCAAUCUUGACAUCUCUUGAAACCCAUCAUCUUGAAACACUGUCAGCUUAGAAACCCCAUAUCUCAGUACUCACUCUACUACUGAUUCAAAUUUUACAUUGUAAUAAGAUCUGCAGUGACUGACUUACUUGCCUGGGAGAGUUUGAGGAACACUCCGAGGCUCAUCUCAGAGCUUGAAGACUCUUUCCCUGAGCCUCUGUAUCUAAGUUGACCACUUGUGCCUUAGCACACACUUCUAUCUGUGCACUUCUCUCAUUGUAUAAAGAUUUUGAGAAACUGAGGUUAGGAAAAAUAUUUUACCUUUUUUUCCUAGCUUCCAUAAACAAUUACUUGAGGCCGGGGAUUUAGCUCAGCGGUUCCACCGCCUGCCUUGCAAGUGCAAGGACCUGAGUUCGAUCCCUGGUACCAAAAAAACCAAAAAACAAAAACAAUUACUUGAAUUAUAUUAAACUUGAAAAACAGCAGAUCACUAUAUAAUUAACAUUUCCAAGACCAUGAUGACACUAAAGCCAAAAGUAAAACAGUAAUAAAAGAAUCUACCUAUUGAGUGUUUAAUAUGUGCCAAGAUCUUCUAGCAUGACAUGUCCAAACCCCACAGAAUAUGCAUAUUGUUCCAUUUUAUUCAUAAGGUAACUGAGGCUCAGAGAAGAAAAGGAAGUUGGUCAUCCAGCCAGUAUGUUAAGGGGCUUCAAUUAGAUUUAUCUCUGUCUUGUUUCACAACAAAUUUUGCCGAGUUUCUUCUACUAAUUAAAACAACAGCAAAGCUUAUGUCAGAACAACCUGAAUGGAUCUUUACUUGCUUCGUUACUGUUCUUUUUACCUAUUCUUCUCCAUCUCUUCCUUUCUAGCACUGAGUGACACAUUACUCUCCUCAAUUGCUUGCUUCUUUCUCCCAGCCCAUGCUUUCCACCACUCUGUGACUCACCUUAUCCCUCAACAGCAACUGGAGUACACUUUUGACUCUUAUCUACCAAAUGUAUUUUCUCUAUCUAAAUUCUAGCAUCAGAUCAAUCACAUUCAUCAGUAAGUAAGAUUUUUGAUAAGGCCUCUUUUUUUUUCUUAAAUUCUUUUAUUGGUACAUUUUAGGUAUAUAGUAUACAAUACAUUUACAUUUAUCUUUGAGUGCUUGUACCUGUACAUGAUGUAUCUUGGUUCUUAUUUUUUCCCCAUUACCUGUGCACCCUUCACCCCUAAAUCCUUCCCUAUUUACAUACUUCAUUUCCAUUUUUUUUUCUUUUCUCAGGUAAGGCGUCUUCUGAUAGGUCUUAGAGUGGGUUACAGAUUAAAAUAUAAGGCAAUUUUAAUGGGAAGUAAGAAGUUUCGUUGUUGAUUCUCUUUAGAUUUGUUUUGGUGGAAGGUAGGAAUUAUAGAUCAAAACUAAAUUUCUUUGUGUUGAAAAGUAGAGACUUCAAGCAUAAUUCUUGUCCUUCUUUGUCCUGCAACAAAAAAAGGAACCCUGAUCCAUCUCUUUUGUCUCUGUGUGCAUGGAAACAUUAAUUUGAGGAAAUAAAAAGUUUUAUUAUAUGCCACAUAUAAAUAUCCACCCUCCUUGGAAGGUAUAACAAAUUAUACAAUCCAGUUUGUAA